rnacentral:rRNA from 1 species
UACGGAGGGUGCAAGCGUUAUCCGGAUUCACUGGGUUUAAAGGGUGCGUAGGAGGGCAGGUAAGUCAGUGGUGAAAUCUCCGGGCUUAACUCGGAAACUGCCGUUGAUACUAUCUGUCUUGAAUACCGUGGAGGUGAGCGGAAUAUGUCAUGUAGCGGUGAAAUGCUUAGAUAUGACAUAGAACACCAAUUGCGAAGGCAGCUCGCUACACGAAUAUUGACUCUGAGGCACGAAAGCGUGGGGAUCAAACAGG